UGAGAGGGAGAGAGAGAAGAGGUGGUGUAGCAGGGCCGGACCGCCGUCCUCUUCCACUCCAUCAACAGGCUUUCUCAACAGCAGGCUGCACCACCGCUCGAAAGCCAGCGGUCUUCUUCCACUCCAUCAACACAAUUUCAGCGGCAGGGAGUGCUUGCCGUAGUGGAAACGAAGCAAGAACUGGAUGGAGCUCAGGAUUUUGCUACUACCUUGCUAAUAGCUUUGUGAGGCAUGUCACCGUUAGCAAGUGCAAGAAGAAAGCACCGAGGAAAAUGCACAAAUACAAGAGGCAGAAGCGUGUCCUACUCAAUGAUCUCUUCGGUGAACUUAUCAAAAUGCUAGAUGAGUUAAAUAGGUGUGCAUCAAUCACUAGCCCCCUCGACACCUUAUAGAUUACGUCACAGCUAGCAUUGCUUCAGUGAAGCUGUCUCUUAAUUUGGGGGGUCGUUUCCUUUUCCAUGUGGUUAUUUGGAAUGUCAGAGUUGAGCGUGGGUAUGUAUGAAUCUGGGUCAUGUUGUUACUAUCCAUGUCCAAUUGUCCAAGUCAUGCUUUUGGGGUGAAUACUGGGGUUCAAUAUGUGUCAUGGAUUUCUUUAGUAGAUCCCAAUGAAUGUUUAUGCCGCUGAAAACGUGGAUGACCUCAUUGACAAUUCAUUACAUUGUGCAUACUUGUCAGCAUAUAAAACUGUGUAGUACCUGCAUCCAUUAAUUCCAAUCUUUUUCUAAUCCAUCUGUCUCAGCCAUGCAUCUUGCAUCAAACUGUAUGUGCCUUGGAGUAUAUUGCUUCUUAUAUUGCACCCAUUAUUAGUGAAGAAAUUGCGAAAUGCUUACUAUGCAUGGUGAUUAUUUAAUCAGAGUAACAUCUGACAUGAAAAGGCACUUCAAAUCAGGGCUAAUUUUCAAGCCUGAAUACCUUUUACUUAGAACAAAGUACUGGUACAUCUUCUCUAUUUUUAAAUGUAGCCAUCCCACUCUCCCUCGAAGCCCCGCCCCCCUGCUACAUUUUCAUGGUCACCGCCCUAGGAACGGCUACAAGAUGAAGUGACGCACAAGGUUUCUUCUCGCCUUCUUCUGGUUUUUCUCUUUGAUAUCCAUUUGUUGCCUUGGGUAUUUCUUGAUUCCUUCUCUGGUGUGUGUAUGUGUGUGUGUGUGCAUGUGUGUGUGUGUGUGUGUGUGUGUGUGUGUGGAAGGUCAUGCGCCUUUGCGCCGGGUGGGAGCAUCUACUGCACUAAUAGAAUGCCAAGCAUAGGAAGAGGCUCCCCAAGAUGAUAUAUGCUUCUUCAGUUUACACACAUUUUUUAGAACUUUUUUCAUCCAAUGAUAAUUCAUUACUGCUUGAACUCUCCAUGGUCAUACAAUUUGGUUGGUGUCAUGUUCUGAAUGCAUGGUGAUAUUGAGCACGUACAAGGCUUUCCGAUUCAACCGCAAUUUCCAGGGUAGUUGUUCUAGCAGGAUAUUGUAUUUGUUACGGAAAACACGGAUGAGUAAUUACAUGAUAUAUUAUUAAUAUUAAACUGUGUUGUUUCUCUGAAACUAACUUGGUAUUUCAGCUGUGGAAACUGAUGUUCUAACCUUAUUUCCAUAGAUGAAUCUUUGUUGUCUUUUUCAGAAAGGGAAUGUCUGGUAUAUCUUUCUUUGUGGAUUUAUUCAAUGAGUUUUCUACAUUGGGCUGCAUUGUUAAGAAAGAGUUUGAUGAUGCCACAAGAGCAAGAAUUAAAAGUCGUUUGUAGAACCAUGUUUCCUCAUGGCAGGAGGCGAGCAAUACUUUACUAUUACAAUGUUCAUUUUCAAUACAAUCAGAAGUAUGAGACUGAUUGUCAAUUGCGCGUUCAUGCAGGUUGCGCGUUCAUGCAGUACUUUACCCAUGAAAUAGAAGAGUUGUGCAGGCGUGUGAUUCAAGUUCUUCGACGAAAUGGACCCAACUCAUUCAGUGAAAAAAUUUCAAGGUUCUCUUUCGGAACUGGUUUGAGCUUCUAUAAGUUCAGUUUGAAGAACAGUGUCACAGAAUAAGGAAUCAUGAAAAUAAUGAGGUAACAUCAGAGGGUGAGUGUUGCAAAAAAGAUUGACGACUGGAGCUAAAAACAGGCAAGAGAAUGUACAGAAAAGCCUGACUUUAGAUUUAGCCAGUAGAGCAUGUGCCCUUCGCAUAGGGAUAAUAACUUUUAGUAAAACAGCAGCACCGGUUUGAUUCAGGGUAUACAAUAUCUUACAAACAGUCAAGGAUUCACCAACUCACCAGUCAGGCAUUAGAUAGAUAACAAAAAGGUAGGAAUAACAUGUGUGUAGAAGUACAUUCCUACUCAUCAUGAGGACAUGUGUCAAGAAGGAACUAGGGAUACCCAUAGCAUUUCCCCACUGUUUAAUCAAUCUUAGUGGAACUGGGUGGUCAUGUAAA